CAGGGAAUCUUCCACAAUGGGCGAAAGCCUGAUGGAGCGACGCCGCGUGGGGGAUGAAGGUUUUCGGAUCGUAAACCCCUUUUCUCAGGGAAGAGUAAGGACGGUACCUGAGGAAUAAGCAUCGGCUAACUACGUGCCAGCAGCCGCGGUAAUACGUAGGAUGCAAGCGUUGUCCGGAAUCACUGGGCGUAAAGGGUCCGUAGGCGGUCUGUUAAGUUCCUUGUGAAAUUUCAGGGCUCAACCCUGAAAGGUCGGGGAAUACUGGCAGACUUGAGACUGUCAGAGGCAAGUGGAAUUCCCGGUGUAGUGGUGAAAUGCGUAGAUAUCGGGAGGAACACCAGUGGCGAAAGCGGCUUGCUGGGACAGUUCUGACGCUGAGGGACGAAAGCGUGGGUAGCAAACCGGAUUAGAUACCCCCGUAGUCC
rnacentral:rRNA from 1 species